AGCGAACGCUGGCGGCAGGCUUAACACAUGCAAGUCGAGCGCCUGUAGCAAUACAGGAGCGGCAGACGGGAGAGUAACACGUGGGAACGUACCCUUCAGUUCGGAACAACCCAGGGAAACUUGGGCUAAUACCGGAUAAGCCCUUACGGGGAAAGAUUUAUCGCUGAAAGAUCGGCCCGCGUCUGAUUAGCUAGUUGGUGAGGUAAUGGCUCACCAAGGCGACGAUCAGUAGCUGGUCUGAGAGGAUGAUCAGCAUCACUGGGACUGAGACACGGCCCAGACUCCUACGGGAGGCAGCAGUGGGGAAUAUUGGACAAUGGGCGCAAGCCUGAUCCAGCCAUGCCGCGUGGAUGAUGAAGGCCUUAGGGUGUAAAGUCCUUUCGGCGGGGAAGAUAAUGACGGUACCCGCAGAAGAAGCCCCGGCUAACUUCGUGCCAGCCGCCGCCGUAAC
rnacentral:rRNA from 1 species